rnacentral:ribozyme from 1 species
CGACUGAAAGGAAUGGAUAAGAAAAAGGCAGCGGGACUGGAUGGUAUCUCUCCCAAGCAGCUUGAUUUGUGUUUUUCUCAUUCUCCUCUUUCUCGUUUUCUUUUGUUUACUUUCUUCAACUUGAUGC